UUCUGGUCAUUUUUUGGGGAGAUUUGGUUGAAUUUCUGGUCAUUUUUUGGGGAGAUUUGGGUAAGUUUGAGGUCAUUUUUUGAGGGAGAUUUGUGUCAGUUUCUGGUCAUUUUUUGGGGUGAUUUGGGUGAGUUUGUGGUCAUUUCUUGGGGAGUUUUGGGUGAGUUUCUCGUCAUUUUUGGGGGAAAUUUGGGUGAGUUUCUGGUCAUAUUUUGGAGAGAUUUGAAUUUGGGUGAGUUUCUGGUCAUAUUUUGGGGAGAUUUGGGUGAGU